rnacentral:rRNA from 1 species
GGUCUUUUGGAUUUUAUAUAAGAUCGGAUCUGCCCAAUGAUAUAUUAAAUGGCUGCAGUAUUUUGACUGUACAAAGGUAGCAUAAUCACUUGUCUUUUAAUUGAAGACUGGAAUGAAUGAUUUGAUGAGAAUUAUACUUUCUUUAUUUUAUAAAAAAAAUUUAAUAUUUAAGUUAAAAGGCUUAAAUGUUAUUAAGGGACGAGAAGACCCUAUAGAACUUUACUUGUAUAUAAAUAUGUAAGUAAUUGAUUUAAAAUUUAUAUAUUUAUAUAUAAUUUAUAUUGGGGUGAUAAAAAAAAUUUUUUAACUUUUUUUCUUAUAAACAUUUAUAUAUGUAUUUUUGAUCCUUUAUUAACGAUUAUAAGAUUAAGUUACCUUAGGGAUAACAGCGUUAUUAUUUUGUGGAGAUCUUAUCGAUAAUAUAGUUUGCGACCUCGAUGUUGGAUUAAAAUUAGGUAUAGGGGUAGAGGUUUAUAUACUAAGUCUGUUCGACUUUUAAUUUUUU